rnacentral:rRNA from 1 species
UACAGAGGUCUCAAGCGUUGUUCGGAUUCAUUGGGCGUAAAGGGCGCGUAGGUGGCGGGACAAGCGUGCGGUGAAAGCCUGGGGCUCAACCCCGGGUCGGCCGUGCGAACUGUUUUGCUUGAGCACUGUAGAGGCUAGGCGGAAUUCCGGGUGUAGCGGUGGAAUGCGUAGAGAUCCGGAAGAACACCGGUGGCGAAGGCGGCCUGCUGGGCAGUAGCUGACACUGAGGCGCGACAGCGUGGGGAUCAAACAGG